UUAAGUUCAGCGGGUAUCCCUACCCGAUCCGAGGUCAACCUGUGAUAGAGGUUUCACGGCGCGGAUCGCCCGUCUCGCCAGCGAAUAGUUGCCACGACGCUGAGAUUCGGACCGUCCGGCCGACAACUUUGAGGCCCGGGUCGCCCCCGUGGCCCAACACCAAGCGAGGCUUGAGUGGUGAAAUGACGCUCGAACGGGCA
rnacentral:misc_RNA from 1 species